UGUGUUAAGAUACUCUCCCCAAGUGCUACCA
rnacentral:piRNA from 1 species